rnacentral:rRNA from 1 species
AAGUCGUAACAAGGUUUCCGUAGGUGGAACCUGCGGAAGGAUCAUUA